AACGAACGCUGGCGGCAUGCCUAACACAUGCAAGUCGAACGAGACCUUCGGGUCUAGUGGCGCACGGGUGCGUAACGCGUGGGAACCUGCCCUUAGGUUCGGAAUAACUCCCCGAAAGGGGUGCUAAUACCGGAUAAUGUCUUCGGACCAAUGAUUUAUCGCCUUUGGAUGGGCCCGCGUUGGAUUAGCUAGUUGGUAGGGUAAAAGCCUACCAAGGCGACGAUCCAUAGCUGGUCUGAGAGGAUGAUCAGCCACACUGGGACUGAGACACGGCCCAGACUCCUACGGGAGGCAGCAGUGGGGAAUAUUGGACACUGGGCGAAAGCCUGAUCCAGCAAUGCCGCGUGAGUGAUGAAGGCCUUAGGGUUGUAAAGCUCUUUUACCCGGGAUGAUAAUGACAGUACCGGGAGAAUAAGCUCCGGCUAACUCCGUG
rnacentral:rRNA from 1 species